rnacentral:sRNA from 1 species
UUCUAACCCCCAUAGGCACAUGUGGAUAUGCAUGCAAAAGAAAGGAAACAGAAUUCAAAAUUCUGAGAAAUUGGAAUGUCGCUGGUCUAGAAUAUACAGUCACUGUACGAUUGAAGCUUCCUGCAUGCAACGCACGAAUUUUGAAAUCCUCACAUGCCCGACUCAGUUCCCUUCAAGUCUCAAGGACAGUGAUUCCUUUAAAUUACUGGUCUGAGAAGUGGAACUGGACCUGGUAACGAAUGUGAGAAGGAACCCUGGGACGCCAAGACCUCAUUUCUAGAGAAUAAGAUUGAACGAUGUCUCCACACCUCAGAUGUUUUUCUGAAGACAACUAGCAUUGCUGUGCCGUAUGUAUAGAUGCAUAACCUUGAACUGAGUGUGUUGGCCUGUGCAGCAGGCUUCCCUACUGAGCUGUAAACUCCUAACUCCAUUAUGGAAGGAGCCUGAGUAAUAAAAACUGCUUGUCAUGCAAAUUGCACCCAA